GAAGCUAUGGGCACUACUUAUAAACGUUUGGUGUAUGAAACAAUGUAAUUUGGUUGCUUAUGUGGAAUGCUAAUCUAAUUCUACACAAUGAUUUGGAUAUACUUGUUUAAUGUUUUUCUUAAUUUUGAGAAGGUUAAUGGUUGAAGACUCAUGCUAUCUCUACUUUCACAAUAAUUUAUUCCUUUAGCAAAUGCUAGAUUUCAUCAUUAUAAUAGAUGCAGAAGCCACCUUUCUGACAUGAUUAUCUUGGUGUCCAUGGAUAAGAAAAUUUAAGCACUUUGAUUUGUUCAUCCUUCAUUGAAGAAUAGAUAUGUAGCCUCAUAUUUUAAUUUCAUUUUGCCAAUUUAGAACAGUUUUGGCCUUGGUUACCUGAUAUUUAUAUUGGUAAGCACAUGGCCUUUUUUUCCUCCUCAAAACUUAAGUUGUUUUCGUGACAGUUAUGUUUUAUUAUCACAGUGAUGGAACUCUUAUUAGUCAUAUGACUUUGAAUGUGUUAAAAUGAUGUCGUAUCUGCAUCUAUUUUGUGUAUAAAAAAUUUUGUUUUAUUAUAGUGUUGUACUUGUAUCAAUAGUUAUAAAUGUCUUCAGAAGAAAACUAAAUGGAGAGAUCUUAUAUGAAUUAUAGGUCAUAUAUACUAGAAUAUAUAUUUUAAUCAAAUAAUUACUUGUUCAUGUUUUUCUCCCCAAGUUUCUAACAGUCACCUAUAAGCUCAUUGCCGAGGUUUAGCUGGUCAGUUUUCAUGUAUUGACUGCUGAGCUAGUAUUCUGAGACUAAUUACUUGGAUUUCCUUCAUGAAUAUUUCCAGCCCCAGUUUUUGGAUCAUAUGUGCUUUAAACAUAUAUGUGCGACUUUUUUUUCUUUUGUCUUGGGGAGA
rnacentral:misc_RNA from 1 species